AAUUUGCGGCGUAAAUACCUAAGUUUAUCUACUGGUUGCAGUUUAAUAUCUAAGUUAAAAUUUUAGCGGUAAAAAUACCUUCUGUUACAGUUUUAGAAGUUCCGUAAGUACCUUACCGUUUUCUGACACGCUGAGUGACAAAUGGCAAGACACGUCAUUUAAAAUAAUGCCACAUCAUUUUAUUAACUAUCCACGUGUGAACAAUUUUAUUCAAAAAUAAAUUUAAGUUAAACUAACAAAUAUAUUUGAAAAUAAAAAAAAUUGAAUACAAUUAAUAUAAAUCUAUAUACCUACAAUCUGAAUUGUAAAAUCAAUACAUUAAUUGAAACAAAAACUAAAAUUAAAUUAAAUUUAAAAUAUAAAUUGUAAAACCUGGAAACAAAAACUCAAAAACAAAAACUAAAUAAACUUAUCAUUUCUUUCCAACAAAAACUCAAAAACACGAUUGAAAAAAAAUCUCAUGAACACAAUGGAGAGGGACAAAUUCUUUGGGGAGAAGACUAGCGAAUCCAUCUUCUCUAGAGAAGACCAUCGUUCAAGGUUCUCUAUCUCCGACCUCGGCAUCGAUUGAUUGCAUCUUCUUCAACUUCUUCAACGUCUUCGAGUGAGGAGCAAACUUAGAUUUCAGCUUGCUCUCUUGAUUGAUGGCCAUGGUCGGAGAAGAUGGAACCUCGAACGAUACUCGUGGUCGGCAAAGAUGGAACUUGUAUUGGCACUCGUUGUCGAUUGAUGGGUUCCCAUAAUCGGAGAAGAAGGUUGCGUUACUUUCUCUCUCCGACUCUAUUGCCUCCUGUUUAAGAUUUGGGAGUUUAUUUAUAAAUAAUUUAAUUUUAUCUUUUAGUUUUAA